rnacentral:rRNA from 1 species
UACGUAGGUGGCAAGCGUUUGUCCGGAUUUACUGGGCGUAAAGCGCGCGUAGGCGGCUUUGCAAGUCGAGUGUGAAAUCCCCAGGCUCAACCUGGGAACUGCAUUCGAGACUGCAUAGCUAGAGUAUGGGAGAGGGAAGUGGAAUUCCAGGUGUAGCGGUGAAAUGCGUAGAUAUCUGGAGGAACACCGGUGGCGAAGGCGGCAUCCUGGACCGGCAUUGACGCUGAGGCGCGAAAGCCAGGGGAGCAAACGGGG